rnacentral:rRNA from 1 species
GAUGAACGCUAGCGGCAGGCUUAAUACAUGCAAGUCGAGGGGUAAGGUCUCUUCGGAGAUACACGACCGGCGAACGGGUGCGUAACGCGUACAUAACCUACCAUCAAGAGGAGAAUAGCCCUGGGAAACUGGGAUUAAUGCUCCAUAGUAUUACGAAGAGGCAUCUUUUUGUAAUUAAAGCUCCGGCGCUUGAUGAUGGAUGUGCGUACCAUUAGGUAGUUGGUAGGGUAACGGCCUACCAAGCCAACGAUGGUUAGCUGGCGUGAGAGCGCGACCAGCCACACGGGCACUGAGACACGGGCCCGACUCCUACGGGAGGCAGCAGUAAGGAAUAUUGGGCAAUGGAGGCAACUCUGACCCAGCCAUGCCGCGUGCAGGAUGACUGCCCUAUGGGUUGUAAACUGCUUUUAUCAGGGAAGAAACCUUGGGAUUUAUCCCGAGCUGACGGUACCUGAAGAAUAAGCACCGGCUAACUCCG